AUUUCUUUCUCUCACUGAUCAAUACCUCACCCACCACAUUUCACAUCCAGACAGAGCUUUUACAGCUUUAGCAGCUCACCUCUUCUUCUCUGCUACUUGUCUUCUGGUGAUGUUCUUCCCUAACAUCCGUCUACAAUCCCAUCGCUUCCAAUUAGCUCCCUCUGGCCAUAAUCAAUGAUAUUUACCUUCUAGACUUCGUGGAUCUGUCUGGGUUUGUUCAGGAAAUCUCUUCCAAGGUCAGCAGAGUGGUGGUUUCGGAUCACUACAAGACCGUAGUAGAUUGCAGUGAGAGUUCUUGUUCAGUUGGUGAGAAUGUGGAGAAGGUUAUUGACAUCCAGAGGAGUGAAGCUACUGUUGUUUUUUAUUAUUUCAAGGAAAGACCUGGUAGUGGUCUAAAAUAUUUGAAUUUUGUUUCGAUGAGGGUUUGAUCUUUGAAUCCAUCUUCGUUCAAGCGGGAUGUAAUUAGUCAGGAAUUAACCGGCUUAUCCUAGAAGCAGGAAUGAUUCUCUCGGUCAAUCAUAUGAGAUUGCUCUUGUGGCUGGAGCAUUUGGAGAUUGCCUGGCUAUGAAAGCUGAUUCUGUAUUGGAGUUGAGGAGUGAACUUGGACAUAAAUUAGCCAACAAAAGGUGUAAUCUAAAGUUAAGGUGUUGAGGCUUUUAUGAAGUUUUCUUAUGAAGUUCUUAUGCCACCGUCUGAUCUUCGCUACUGGAGCUACAGCUAGGGUUAGCAGACAGAACUGUGAAAUUCUGGGAUUUGGAAACCUUUGAACUGAUUCAAUAUACAAGCCUCGGAGCCACCACAUUUGACGUCUACUUGGUGAGCGAGCAGGUCUGCAGCCGAAGAGAGCUUGGGAGAGAGAAGAGAAAGAGAGAGAGAGUAUGUCUGCAGCUGGUGUUCUUUCUUAUAUUUUUUAUCAUUAAAGAAUGUUGCACUCAUCAUGUUCUAUGGUGCAAUACAUUGUUAAAAAAUAAUUGUAAAUUUGGAUGAUUUGUGAAAGAAAAAUUUAAACGCAAUUUUGAUGAUAAUUAAAAA